UGGGAACUGCGUUNUGAACUGGGUGACUAGAGUGUGUCAGAGGGAGGUAGAAUUCCACGUGUAGCAGUGAAAUGCGUAGAGAUGUGGAGGAAUACCGAUGGCGAAGGCAGCCUCCUGGGAUAACACUGACGUUCAUGCCCGAAAGCGAGGGUAGCAAACAGGAUUAGAUACCCUGGUAGUCCACGCCCUAAACGAUGUCGAUUAGCUGUUGGGCAGCAUGACUGCUUAGUAGCGAAGCUAACGCGUGAAAUCGACCGCCUGGGGAGUACGGUCGCAAGAUUAAAACUCAAAGGAAUUGACGGGGACCCGCACAAGCGGUGGAUGAUGUGGAUUAAUUCGAUGCAACGCGAAGAACCUUACCUGGUCUUGACAUGUACGGAACCCUCCAGAGACGGAGGAGUGCCUUCGGGAGCCGUAACACAGGUGCUGCAUGGCUGUCGUCAGCUCGUGUCGUGAGAUGUUGGGUUAAGUCCCGCAACGAGCGCAACCCUUGUCAUUAGUUGCCAUCAUUAAGUUGGGCACUCUAAUGAGACUGCCGGUGACAAGCCGGAGGAAGGUGGGGAUGACGUCAAGUCCUCAUGGCCCUUAUGACCAGGGCUUCACACGUCAUACAAUGGUCGGUACAGAGGAUAGCCAAGCCGCGAGGCGGAGCCAAUCUCACAAAACCGAUCGUAGUCCGGAUUGCACUCUGCAACUCGAGUGCAUGAAGUCGGAAUCGCUAGUAAUCGCAGGUCAGCAUACUGCGGUGAAUACGUUCCCGGGUCUUGUACACACCGCCCGUCACACCAUGGGAGUGGGGGAUACCAGAAGUAGGUAGGGUAACCGCAAGGAGCCCGCUUACCACGGU
rnacentral:rRNA from 1 species